rnacentral:rRNA from 1 species
UGGGGAAUCUUCCGCAAUGGACGAAAGUCUGACGGAGCAACGCCGCGUGAGUGAAGAAGGUCUUCGGAUUGUAAAGCUCUGUCGUUUGGGACGAACGUAUUCUAUGUAAAUAAUGUAGAGUAAUGACGGUACCAAAGGAGGAAGCCACGGCUAACUACGUGCCAGCAGCCGCGGUAAUACGUAGGUGGCAAGCGUUGUCCGGAAUUAUUGGGCGUAAAGGGCGUGUAGGUGGAUUUUUAAGUCGUGUGUCUAAGUGCGGGGCUCAACCCCGUAUAGGCGCAGGAAACUGGAGAUCUUGAGUGCAGGAGAGGAAAGUGGAAUUCCCAGUGUAGCGGUGAAAUGCGUAGAUAUUGGGAGGAACACCAGUGGCGAAGGCGACUUUCUGGACUGUGUCUGACACUGAGGCGCGAAAGCCAGGGGAGCGAACG